CCUACGGGUGGCAGCAGUGGGGAAUAUUGGACAAUGGGUGAAAGCCUGAUCCAGCCAUGCCGCGUGUGUGAAGAAGGCCUUCGGGUUGUAAAGCACUUUCAGUGGGGAAGAAAGCCUUGGGGCUAAUACCCUCGAGGAAGGACAUCACCCACAGAAGAAGCACCGGCUAACUCCGUGCCAGCAGCCGCGGUAAUACGGAGGGUGCGAGCGUUAAUCGGAAUUACUGGGCGUAAAGCGCGCGUAGGCGGUCUGAUAAGCCGGUUGUGAAAGCCCCGGGCUCAACCUGGGAACGGCAUCCGGAACUGUCAGGCUAGAGUGCAGGAGAGGAAGGUAGAAUUCCCGGUGUAGCGGUGAAAUGCGUAGAGAUCGGGAGGAAUACCAGUGGCGAAGGCGGCCUUCUGGACUGACACUGACGCUGAGGUGCGAAAGCGUGGGUAGCAAACAGGAUUAGAUACCCUGGUAGUC
rnacentral:rRNA from 1 species